GGGAGGUGAUUAAGCCAUGAGGUUGAAGCUCUCAUGGAUGAGAAUAGAGCCAUUAUAAAAGGACUUCAGGGAGGGGGUUCAUUUUCUUCUGCCAUGUUAGGAGACAGCAACAAGGCACCAUCUUGGAGAAGCAGAGAGCAGCUCUCAUCAGACACUGAACCUGCUGGGACCUUGAUCAUGAAUUUCCUAGCUUUCAGAACUCCUCCAGUAACCACUGUUCUACUCUCUACUUCUACGAGAUCAACUUUUUAGAUUCCACAGCCAUCAGAGUGAUCAUGUCAUGGGAAGAGCUAAGUCACAGUAUGGUCACAUCUUUGCUCAGAACAUCCUGAUGGCUUUCCAUCUUGCUGAAUAUACGGUGUGUUUGCUGUUCUCAUGCGUCUAUGAAGAAACACACGAGACUGGGCAAGAAAACGGAGGCAUGGAGAUGACAGCUGACUUGUUAAAUCUGUGUAAUGGAAAAAGACAAGCGUUUGUGUUCAUGUUUCAAGGGACCAGGAGAGCAGUGUGCUUUGUAGGAGGAAUCCAGGAGAACCUUAGCUUUUGUGAUCCCCAGAAGUAAUCUCCUAGGAAAAACACUCUGCCUGGAGAAUUUAACAAUAGUAAACUAAACAAUGUUUCAAGAAAAAACAUUGGGUCUAUUUUUAGUCCACUGGUAUGCACAGGGCAAGAGUAAGCCUGAAGGAAUGUUUUGUGUGAUGGAGAAUAAACUGAACUUAUUUGGUACUGUUGCCUUUUGUCCCCUUGCCCUAGAGUCCCCAGGACCUUUUAUGCUUGUUAGGCCUCCUUUAUCUGGUGUACUGGGAAGAAACAAGUGUUAAAAUUUUUUUAAAAAAAAGGCUAAAUAGGACAUAUUCUUAUCUUCAGGGUUAAAAUUGUUACUUCAUUCAUUCAAAGCAAGUUGGAAAUAGCAGCCCUUCCACCUUUCCUUGUUAUCACUGUAUGCACAGAAGUAAAGCAUUCUCACAACUACAGUAGUUGCU